rnacentral:misc_RNA from 1 species
AAGUCGUAACAAGGUCUCCGUAGGUGAACCUGCGGAGGGAUCAUUACCGAGUGAGGGCCUCCGGGCCCGACCUCCAACCCCAUGUUAACCGACCCUGUUGCCUCGGGGGCGACCCGGACUCGUGCCGGGGCCCCCGAUGGACCUUCAAACACUGCAUCUUUGCGUCCGAGUCAAUAUUUGAAUAAAUCAAAACUUUCAACAACGGAUCUCUUGGUUCUG